ACAUAAAUUAUGACCUAUGGGAGAGACGUUUAAAGAGGAGAGAAAUUUAAAUACAAGUGUAUACAAAAACAGCAAUAUUAAUAAAAGUAUGGGUCACAUCUACUCACCACAACUCUUGUUUUUAUUGUGGUAGCAUCAAGGGACUCCAGCAGUGGUACAAAUUCUCUCUGUGCUCACUAAGGCUUGAAAACAGAUUACAAAUGCCCUAAAGAGCUUCCAACUUUCAGAAUUCCCAUUUUCUUCAUCACAAAGCAGCAAAGAUGGCUCAACAACAACUGUCUGAUACCAGUAUCGUUACAAAAAAUCUUGUUUCCAACUCUUCCACAUCUCUUGCCUCAGGAUCAGAAGAUGUUUUACUCAUGCUUGGAGAUCUGCUGAGAGAAAUCAAGAGAGGAUUGUGAUUCAGAGAACAGCUGAUUGAUUCUCCUCUUCCUGUUCUCACUCAGAGGCCACGGUACGUAAGCAGAAGGUCACAGGCAGUAUGGGAUGGAAGCCACGCUCCAAAAUAAGUACUUUCCUCAGAAUGCAGGCAGAGAGGAAUAUCAAAAUAUGUGCCUCUUCUUGUGUUCAAAUCAAAGAGGAAUUUGGCUUGAGUGUUACAAAAAUGUUUUUGGACACUGAGUAAUAUCACAACUCCACAGUAAGA